CAGCUAUUUUGAAUUGUCAGUUAGACCUCAGUAUUCCAUGCCUUUGGGUUCAGUUGCUGGAAUUAUCAUUUUCUUUUUUUAUGUCAUAUUUCCUUGAUUUUUUGUAGUGUUUGAGGAUAUGCAAUUCUACUUUCACAUUUGAAGUAGCAGUCCCCUUCUUUAACUAAGGAAUCAUUUAUUUCAAUCAUGAAGACACCUGGAAACUACGGGAAACUCAUCUCACUUUGUUGUAGUACUGAUUGCUAUCAAAGGUUUGCAGUUUUUUACCUGAGUGUCCUGUUUAUUUGUGAAGAAGCUAAAUGACAGCCUGGUUCAUUUUUGAAUUUUGUACGAGGAGUAGAGUUCACAUGUAGUGCUAACUUAGAAUUCAAGAGAUAUUUUCUUCUUGGAUGUUUGUCUUAUUUUGACAAUAUUAAAGUUUUGUUAUGAACAGUG
rnacentral:lncRNA from 1 species